CCAAUGGCGUGUUGCAUUUGAAAAAUCUGCUGCCAAAGACUCCUUUAAAAUGCUGAAGAAUCCCUGCAUAUUCCCACAGCUUCUCAGAGUCCUGUGGACAAUGACAGAGGAGACAAGCCAGGCAGGAAACAUGC
rnacentral:snoRNA from 1 species